rfam:Bacillus marisflavi strain JCM 11544 super9, whole genome shotgun sequence.
CGAUGGGGUAGAGGAGCAGGGUUCAUUAGUAAGCUGUUUGAGGAUGACAACAGAGAGAACAGAUGAAAGGGAACUUUUGCCGAAGUAGCCAUGUAUGUCGAAUGCAUGGGUGCUGGGGUUAUCUUGAAAAAGGAUGACACUGUCAUUAUAGAGACACUCUAUAAUGGGGAGCUACAGAUCGU